GCUUUUGAAUCGUUAGCGGCGGACGGGUGAGUAACACGUGGGCACCUGCCCUGUAGACGGGGAUAACACCGAGAAAUCGGUGCUAAUACCGGAUAACACGAAAGUCGCAUGACGUUUCGUUGAAAGACGGCGCAAGCUGUCGCUACAGGAUGGGCCCGCGGCCAUUAGCUAGUUGGUGAGGUAACGGCUCACCAAGGCGACGAUGCGUAGCCGACCUGAGAGGUGAUCGGCCACACUGGGACUGAGACACGGCCCAGACUCCUACGGGAGGCAGCAGUAGGAAUCUUCCGCAAUGGACGAAAGUCUGACGGAGCAACGCCGCGUGAGCGAAGAAGGCCUCGGGUCGUAAAGCUCUGUUGUUAGGGAAGAACAAGUAACGUAGUAACUGGCGUUACUGUACGGUACCUAACGAGAAAGCCACGGCUAACUACGUGCCAGCAGCCGCGGUAAUACGUAGUGGCAAGCGUUGUCCGGAAUUAUUGGGCGUAAAGCGCGCGCAGGCGGUUCCUUAAGUCUAUGUGAAAGCCCACGGCUCAACCGUGGAGGGUCAUUGGAAACUGGGGGACUUGAGUGCAAAGAGGAGAGCGGAAUUCCACGUGUAGCGGUGAAAUGCGUAGAGAUGUGGAGGAACACCGUGGCGAAGGCGGCUCUCUGGUCUGUAACUGACGCUGAGGCGCGAAAGCGUGGGGAGCAACAGGAUUAGAUACCCUGGUAGUCCACGCCGUAAACGAUGAGUGCUAAGUGUUAGAGGGAUCCACCCUUUAGUGCUGUAGCUAACGCAUUAAGCACUCCGCCUGGGGAGUACGCUCGCAGAGUGAAACUCAAAGGAAUUGACGGGGGCCCGCACAAGCGGUGGAGCAUGUGGUUUAAUCGAAGCAACGCGAAGAACCUUACCAGGUCUUGACAUCCCCUGACAACCCGAGAGAUCGGCGUUCCCCCUUCGGGGGGACAGGGUGACAGGUGGUGCAUGGUUGUCGUCAGCUCGUGUGUGAGAUGUUGGGUUAAGUCCCGCAACGAGCGCAACCCUCGACCUUAGUUGCCAGCGAGCAAGUCGGGCACUCUAAGGUGACUGCCGGCUAAAAGUCGGAGGAAGGUGGGGAUGACGUAAAUCAUCAUGCCCCUUAUGACCUGGGCUACACACGUGCUACAAUGGGCGGUACAAAGGUUGCGAACCCGCGAGGGGGAACCAAUCCCAAAAAGCCGCUCU
rnacentral:rRNA from 1 species